UGGGGAAUUUUGGACAAUGGGCGAAAGCCUGAUCCAGCAAUGCCGCGUGUGUGAAGAAGGCCUUCGGGUUGUAAAGCACUUUUGUCCGGAAAGAAAUCCUUGGCUCUAAUACAGUCGGGGGAUGACGGUACCGGAAGAAUAAGCACCGGCUAACUACAUGCCAGCAGCCGCGGUAAUACGUAGGGUGCAAGCGUUAAUCGGAAUUACUGGGCGUAAAGCGUGCGCAGGCGGUUUGCUAAGACCGAUGUGAAAUCCCCGGGCUCAACCUGGGAACUGCAUUGGUGACUGGCAGGCUAGAGUAUGGCAGAGGGGGGUAGAAUUCCACGUGUAGCAGUGAAAUGCGUAGAGAUGUGGAGGAAUACCGAUGGCGAAGGCAGCCCCCUGGGCCAAUACUGACGCUCAUGCACGAAAGCGUGGGGAGCAAACAGGAUUAGAUACCCUGGUAGUCCACGCCCUAAACGAUGUCAACUAGUUGUUGGGGAUUCAUUUCCUUAGUAACGUAGCUAACGCGUGAAGUUGACCGCCUGGGGAGUACGGUCGCAAGAUUAAAACUCAAAUGAAUUGACGGGGUCAUAGCUGUUUCCU
rnacentral:rRNA from 1 species